UCGCACCACAUAACGCCCUAUUUGCAGAGCAACCGUUCCUGUAUGUAAAUUACUUGGUUCAGGCGAAAUUAGCUCGACUGAAAUGAUGAUCCCAGCGGCAGGACCGGUGGCGGCGUCGUCCCAGCAGAAUACGCAAGAUCCGGCCGACACGACGGCGGAGGCUCCUCCAAAGCAAGUAGCUACUGCGAUGGAGAGGCUCUCGCGCGCUGCCCGUCUUAUUGCGGACGUCAGAAUCGGUGCUGACCGCCUCCUUGAGGCGCUCUUCCUCGCGGCGGAGUCUCCUUACCAGUCCAAUAAGUCCAUCCAGCUUGUUCUCAAAGAAGAGUCUGCAAUGCGUAAGCACUUCCAGGAUCUUCGAUCACUUGGAAAACAAUUGGAAGACUCUGGAGUUUUGAAUGGAUCUGUUAAAUUACGAGGUAAUUCAUGGGGUUUACAUAUGCCCCUUGUUUGUCCGGAUGGUGCUGUUGUAGCAUAUGCAUGGAAACGUCAACUCGCUGGUCAAGCUGGCGCAUCUGCAGUUGAUAGAACAAGGCUAGCUCUCAAGGCAUUCACUGAUCAGAAGAGGCGUUUUUUCCCUCACUUGGAGGAUGAGGCAUUUACUCAAUGUAGUGAGGGGGAGCUUGGGGUUGCUAAGAAACCCUGUUUUUCUCACGGAUUACUGCCAGGGCAUAAAGAUGAACUUAGGGAAGAGAGAACAUUGCCUGACAUCAUUAAUAGCCUUCAAUGCAUAGCGCCUGAUAUCAAAAUCUAUACAUAUCAGCGCCUUGAUUGGUUAAAGAGAGCUUCUUCGUUAUCAUCAUUGCCAAGUGAUCAUUUGGUCGACUCAUCAAACGAAUAUGGCUUACAAAGUAGUAGCAACUCGACAUCAGUUUUAGGAAAUGCUGCUUCUAUCUCAGAAGAUCAAGUUGCUGUUAUCGAAUUGCUUUCACCUUCUGUUUUCAGAGCUGUAGUUUCACUGCACCCGACAGGAUCCAUGAGCCCUGAUGCAGUGGCAUUUUUCUCCACAGAUGAGGGUGGAAGCUAUGUUCAUGCGAGAGGUCGGUCUGUCUUUCAUGUUUUCUGGCAUGUUACGGAAUAUGCUGAUAAGGCAUUGCAAUAUUUUCAGAGUACUAACGUGGAUACCUCACUUUCACUUAUUUUGCGCUGGAUCUGCAGCUACCAAACCUUGUUUACAAAGGUCUGCAGUAAAUGUGAGCGAUUAUUGAUGAUGGAUGAGUCCUUAGCUUUAAUAUUACCUCCAGUGCACCGUGCCUAUCAGAAUACUUCUGCAUCAAACUCUCAUCCAAACCAGUUGACUGCAUCUGACAGGGGCCAUGGUAGCGAUUUUAUCUUUGCCUACCAUAUUGGGUGCUCAAAUAAUGAUUUGUGAUGCUGUUCGGAUGCUUUCAGAACUUUAGUUCAACUGGUUUCUUGAUUGACUAUUUCAUUUUUCUCUUGGCUGUCAAAUUCAUAGAAAGAUUAAUGGCUAGAAUUGCUGUGUAAAAGAUAAAUGGCAUCGUUCCAUUGGUUAUUACCAGAAACAUUAUCAAUCUCUCUUCUUUUUAUUGCUAUAUUUUUGUGAAUUAGUUCAUUUGUCACGGUCGUUUCAAGAGAGCUUCCACACUUGCUUAUAUCUCAACGGUCGACUUGGCAAUGUCAUGACGCUACUACUAUCCUGACCAAGCCAGCGAACCAAACAUUCAGGUAAAGGGCCACAGACUUUGUCACAUCGCAUGAAUAAUCCAAAACGUCUUCAGAUAUUUAUUUAAAUAGGAUAGGAAGAUUGUUAAGAUAUAGCUUCAGUUAUCUGCAUUUCUUUUUUUUAAACUCAUCAUCCUCUUUAGCAGGGCAAAUUAUUGUGUCCGGUGUCCAGAUUCGUCCGGACACCAAUAAAAACAUGCCACAUCACUCAAAAAUACCAGGGACCAGUGCAUCCGGGUGAGAUGACGUCUUUGGAUUGGUUGUCCGCAUGUCAGGUGAUCGGACGCAAUAAUUUGCCCUUUAGCAGAUGCACUCAACCUAAUCAUUUAUACAAAACUUGCAUAGUCUUUCGAUGCUGUUCACUAUCUAGAGAAUGUCUAUCACUUCAUAACUUUA